GACGAACGCUGGCGGCGUGCCUAAUACAUGCAAGUCGAACGCAGUGGGGAUGGGUGGGUAACACGUGGGUAACCUCCCAUCAGAGGGGAUAACACUUGGAAACAGGUGCUAACCCGAUACGGAUGGAUGGCCCCGCGGUGCAUUAGCCAGUUGGUGGGGUAACGGCUCACCAAGGCCACGAUGCAUAGCCGACCGGAGAGGUGGAUCGGCCACACUGGGACGGGGACACGGCCCAGACUCCUACGGGAGGCAGCAGUAGGGAAUCUUCGGCAAUGGACGAAAGUCUGACCGAGCAACGCCGCGUGAGUGAAGAAGGUUUUCGGAUCGUAAAACUCUUUUGUUAGAGAAGCGGUAUCUAAACAGAAAGCCACGGCUAACUACGUGCCAGCAGCCGCGGUAAUUC
rnacentral:rRNA from 1 species